UGAGCGGACUAUACAGCAGCGGAAACGCUUUUAGUUUACGAGGAAAGUCCGGGCAUCACAGAGCAGGGUAGCUGUUAACGACAGCCGAGGGCGACCUCAGGGCAAGUGCAACAGAAAUAAACUUCCGUUUCGGCGGUAAAGGUGGAAAGGCGAGGUAAAAGCUCACCGGAGUGCAGGAGACUGCACUGCCAUGUAAACCCUACCUGAUGCAACGUCUAUUGGUGCUUUGUAUCUUAACGUCUGCUCGGCGGAUAUGAAGUAAUGACGGCUUUAACCGUUCGGCGACGGGCGGUAUAGAUAAAUUGCUGUACACGACAGAACCCGGCUUAUCGGUUCGGUCACACA
rnacentral:RNase_P_RNA from 1 species